AGAGUUUGAUCCUGGCUCAGGAUGAACGCUAGCGGGAGGCUUAACACAUGCAAGUCGAGGGGCAUCACGAGGUAGCAAUACUUUGGUGGCGACCGGCGCACGGGUGAGUAACACGUAUGCAACCUUCCCUGUACAGGGGGAUAACCCGGAGAAAUUCGGACUAAUACCCCAUGAUGAUAUUUAUGGGCAUCCAUUGAUAUUUAAAGCUCUGGCGGUACAGGAUGGGCAUGCGCGACAUUAGCUAGUUGGUAAGGUAACGGCUUACCAAGGCUACGAUGUUUAGGGGACCUGAGAGGGUUGUCCCCCACACUGGUACUGAGACACGGACCAGACUCCUACGGGAGGCAGCAGUGAGGAAUCUUGGUCAAUGGACGCAAGUCUGAACCAGCCAUGUCGCGUGAAGGAGGACGGCCCUAAGGGUUGUAAACUUCUUUUGCAGCGGAAUAAAGUUUGCCACGAGUUGGCGAUUUGCAAGUACGCUGCGAAUAAGGAUCGGCUAACUCCGUGCCAGCAGCCGCGGUAAUACGGAGGAUCCGGGCGUUAUCCGGAUUUAUUGGGUUUAAAGGGUGCGCAGGCGGGGAUUUAGGUCGGCGGUGAAAUUUCGGGGCUCAACCUCGAUAGUGCCGUUGAAACCGUUUCUCUUUGAGUGCGGAUGAGGUAGGCGGAAUUUGUGGUGU
rnacentral:rRNA from 1 species